CGUAGGUGGCAAGCGUUGUCCGGAUUUAUUGGGUUUAAAGGGUGCGUAGGCGGCCUAUUAAGUCAGUUCUGAAAUAUCCCGGCUUAACCGGGAGGGUGGGAUUGAUACUGAUGGGCUUGAGUGGAAUCGAGGUAGGCGGAAUUGACGGUGUAGCGGUGAAAUGCUUAGAUAUCGUCAAGAACACCGAUAGUGUAGACAGCUUACUAGACUUCAACUGACGCUGAGGCACGAAAGUGUGGGGAUCAAACAGGAUUAGAUACCCUGGUAGUCCACACUGUAAACGUUGAUUACUCGCUGUGUGCGAUAUACAGUACGCGGCUUAGCGAAAGCGAUAAGUAAUCCACCUGGGGAGUACGCCGGCAACGGUG
rnacentral:rRNA from 1 species